rnacentral:rRNA from 1 species
GUUAGAGCUCGAAAGGUUUUGGAAACACUUGAAAUGGGUGAGAUUGAGAGUGCAAGUGUGUUGAGUCAAGAGAUGGGACUAGCAAGACCCGAUGAUACUUGAUGGGGAUCCCAUUUUAGAACCAUUGUGCACAUUGUUAGCAUGUAUCCCACAAUCCUCAAAGUACUUGAUGUUAUUGGAAAAGAUCCUUCACAAAAAUGUAAGUUGUCAGGAAUACAUGUAGUUACUCUUGCAUCUGAAUCAUUUGACUUUGUUUUCAAUCUUCACUUGAUGUUAGUUAUUCUUGGCUACACAAAUGACACGCCGGUGUCCAAAUCUUCACAAAAGAGAGAUCAAGAUAAUGCAAUGUCACUUGUUAGUUUGGCAAAGAGUAGAAUGCAACAUACUAGGUCUCAUGGACAGGAAGAAUUUGUUGCAAAGGUGACAUUAUUUUGCAACAAACAUGGCAUCGACGUUCCUGCGUUGGAGGAUAAUUAUGUGCCCCAUGGAAGAUCACAUCUGUAUUAUCAAGUACAAACAAAUGAUGAUCGCUACAGAAGAGAAGUAUAUCUUGGUACCAUUAAUCAAAUCAUUCACGAGCUUGACAAUCGGUUUGAUGAGGUUAAUAUGGCGUUACUUAUUUCCAUGUCAGCUUUGAAUCCCCUCAAUUAG